rnacentral:tRNA from 1 species
GGGGCUGUAGCUCAGUGGUAGAGCACUUGCCUAGCACAUAGGAGACACUGGGUUUGAUUCUCAGCACCA